rnacentral:rRNA from 1 species
GCUCUAGUAACGGCGAGUGAAGCAGCAAUAGCUCAAAUUUGAAAUCUGGCGUCUUCGACGUCCGAGUUGUAAUUUGUAGAGGAUGCUUCUGAGUAACCACCGACCUAAGUUCCUUGGAACAGGACGUCAUAGAGGGUGAGAAUCCCGUAUGCGGUCGGAAAGGUGCUCUAUACGUAGCUCCUUCGACGAGUCGAGUUGUUUGGGAAUGCAGCUCUAAAUGGGAGGUAAAUUUCUUCUAAAGCUAAAUAUUGGCCAGAGACCGAUAGCGCACAAGUAGAGUGAUCGAAAGAUGAAAAGCACUUUGGAAAGAGAGUUAAAAAGCACGUGAAAUUGUUAAAAGGGAAGGGAUUGCAACCAGACUUGCUCGCGGUGUUCCGCCGGUCUUCUGACCGGUCUACUCGCCGCGUUGCAGGCCAGCAUCGUCUGGUGCCGCUGGAUAAGACUUGAGGAAUGUAGCUCCCUCGGGAGUGUUAUAGCCUCUUGUGAUGCAGCGAGCGCCGGGCGAGGUCCGCGCUUCGGCUAGGAUGCUGGCGUAAUGGUCGUAAUCCGCCCGUCUU